rnacentral:rRNA from 1 species
GGCCAGACUCCUACGGGAGGCAGCAGUGGGGAAUAUUGCACAAUGGGGGAAACCCUGAUGCAGCGACGCCGCGUGAGUGAAGAAGUAUUUCGGUAUGUAAAGCUCUAUCAGCAGGGAAGAUAAUGACGGUACCUGAGUAAGAAGCCCCGGCUAACUACGUGCCAGCAGCCGCGGUAAUACGUAGGGGGCAAGCGUUAUCCGGAUUUACUGGGUGUAAAGGGAGCGUAGACGGCAUGGCAAGUCUGAAGUGAAAGCCCGGGGCUCAACCGCGGGACUGCUUUGGAAACUGUUAAGCUGGAGUGCAGGAGAGGUAAGUGGAAUUCCUAGUGUAGCGGUGAAAUGCGUAGAUAUUAGGAGGAACACCAGUGGCGAAGGCGGCUUACUGGACUGUAACU